UGGGGAAUUGUUCGCAAUGGGCGAAAGCCUGACGACGCAACGCCGCGUGGAGGAUGAAGACCUUCGGGUCGUAAACUCCUUUCGACCGAGAUGAAUACUCAUUGACCCAAUACGUCGAUGAGCUGACAGUAUCGAGGGAAGCAGCCCCGGCUAACUCUGUGCCAGCAGCCGCGGUAAUACAGGGGGGGCAAGCGUUGUUCGGAAUUACUGGGCGUAAAGGGUUCGUAGGUGGCCAACUAAGCCAGACGUGAAAUCCCUCAGCUUAACUGGGGAACUGCGUCUGGGACUGGAUGGCUUGAGUGCAGGAGAGGAACGCGGAAUUCCAGGUGUAGCGGUGAAAUGCGUAGAUAUCUGGAGGAACACCGGUGGCGAAGGCGGCGUUCUGGACUGCAACUGACACUGAGGAACGAAAGCCAGGGGAGCAAACGG
rnacentral:rRNA from 1 species